rnacentral:rRNA from 1 species
UCAGGCCUAACACAUGCAAGUCGAGCGGAAACGAGUUAUCUGAACCUUCGGGGAACGAUAACGGCGUCGAGCGGCGGACGGGUGAGUAACGCCUAGGAAAUUGCCCUGAUGUGGGGGAUAACCAUUGGAAACGAUGGCUAAUACCGCAUGAUGCCUACGGGCCAAAGAGGGGGACCUUCGGGCCUCUCGCGUCAGGAUAUGCCUAGGUGGGAUUAGCUAGUUGGUGAGGUAAGGGCUCACCAAGGCGACGAUCCCUAGCUGGUCUGAGAGGAUGAUCAGCCACACUGGAACUGAGACACGGUCCAGACUCCUACGGGAGGCAGCAGUGGGGAAUAUUGCACAAUGGGCGCAAGCCUGAUGCAGCCAUGCCGCGUGUGUGAAGAAGGCCUUCGGGUUGUAAAGCACUUUCAGUCGUGAGGAAGGUAGUGUAGUUAAUAGCUGCAUUAUUUGACGUUAGCGACAGAAGAAGCACCGGCUAACUCCGUGCCAGCAGCCGCGGUAAUACGGAGGGUGCGAGCGUUAAUCGGAAUUACUGGGCGUAAAGCGCAUGCAGGUGGUUUGUUAAGUCAGAUGUGAAAGCCCGGGGCUCAACCUCGGAAUAGCAUUUGAAACUGGCAGACUAGAGUACUGUAGAGGGGGGUAGAAUUUCA